rnacentral:rRNA from 1 species
CGCUGGCGGCGUGCCUAAUACAUGCAAGUAGAACGCUGAGGUUUGGUGUUUACACUAGACUGAUGAGUUGCGAACGGGUGAGUAACGCGUAGGUAACCUGCCUCAUAGCGGGGGAUAACUAUUGGAAACGAUAGCUAAUACCGCAUAAGAGUAAUUAACACAUGUUAGUUAUUUAAAAGGAGCAAUUGCUUCACUGUGAGAUGGACCUGCGUUGUAUUAGCUAGUUGGUGAGGUAAAGGCUCACCAAGGCGACGAUACAUAGCCGACCUGAGAGGGUGAUCGGCCACACUGGGACUGAGACACGGCCCAGACUCCUACGGGAGGCAGCAGUAGGGAAUCUUCGGCAAUGGACGGAAGUCUGACCGAGCAACGCCGCGUGAGUGAAGAAGGUUUUCGGAUCGUAAAGCUCUGUUGUUAGAGAAGAACGUUGGUAGGAGUGGAAAAUCUACCAAGUGACGGUAACUAACCAGAAAGGGACGGCUAACUACGUGCCAGCAGCCGCGGUAAUACGUAGGUCCCGAGCGUUGUCCGGAUUUAUUGGGCGUAAAGCGAGCGCAGGCGGUUCUUUAAGUCUGAAGUUAAAGGCAGUGGCUUAACCAUUGUACGCUUUGGAAACUGGAGGACUUGAGUGCAGAAGGGGAGAGUGGAAUUCCAUGUGUAGCGGUGAAAUGCGUAGAUA